CUAGAUUUGGAAAUCUCUGUCUAUGUGUAUGAAAGGAGGGAAGCAGCUAUAAAUUAGAAGGGAGAUAAGAAAGUGAAGAUAUUUACUAGACUCUGCCUUUGCUUGCAGUUCUCUGGCUUGAUUGAGGAGGUUCUCACUUUCAUCUUUAUGGGACUUUGGCUAAAAAAAAUAAACUGUCAAAGGAACUGGCAUUUGCUGACUGGACUACAGCACAUCUCGAAGAAUCUGCAGACUGAAACCUUCAAGGCAUUCAUGAAAUGGUCUUUCCUUAGUUCCCCUGCCCUUUCCACUCUUUCUGCCAUUUGGAUUUCACACUGGAAGUUCAAGAGAUGACAUCAGAAAACAGAAAAGCCAGUGGGAAAGGCAAGGAGAUUUGGAAGAGUGUUUGAAAAUUUUGGCAAUCAAGAAUAAGAAGAAAGCAGGAAGCCAAGUCACCAGGCAGAACUGAUAGCAUGGGAAGUGGGUUCCCACCAGUCGCAUGCAGCUGCUCUGGUAUGGCCAUGGUGCUGGGGAUGAGUCAGAAAUCUCAGUCUUUUCUGGCUUAAAGAAAAGGAAGAAUGGAACCCAUCUUCUCCAGAUAUGUUGUUAUGGGGUAAGUGUAGGUCUAGAGACAGAAAAGAAUCACAUUUGAACAUCCUCUUAAUGCAAGAACAUUUUUAAAGAAUCAAUUUCCCCUGAAUAUCCAUCAAGCCUAAUACAGUGUGACUAUCUGAGAUCAAUUAUUUUAUCUUUACAAAGACUGGGAGUUAUACAGCAAAAGCAAUACUGUAAAAUAUGUGUAUUAAAAUAUGUAAAAGAAGGGAGUUG
rnacentral:antisense_RNA from 1 species